GCAGGGGGCAAUCCCAACCCCACCACCGGGAACACCCAGGCCAAAAGAACGGGAGUUACACUCAAAGUCUUCCCCCUUCUUAUCACUCCUGCCGAUUUCCCUCUUCCUUUUUGCACGCCUCCACUCUUCCCCACCGGAAACGCCGCCCCUUCCUCCUACAGUUCCUCCCAGCAGUCCCUCAACGCUUGUCUUCCCUCGCGCGUAGAGAGUGACUCGAAGGACCGCCUCUCCUCUUCGCUGCAGCCCCUCCCCAUGCACGCUGGGAGACUCUUGGAGGGGAUAAGGUGGGGCCCGGAGAGGAAGAGAAAAGAAGACAAUCGGAUUGGAUAGGCAGCUGCCAUGGCAACUGGAGGCUGUGGUUAUAUUGUCAUAGUAACCGAUGUGUGCGGACAGGGUCACCCUCCCCUUGGCCAAUGGAUUCCCAGGAAACCGCCCAGGGUUCCCCGUUUGGCUUCCCUUCCAUCUAAAGUCCUCCCCCAAGUUAGGAAUCGAUGUAGUUCUCCCCGGUGGUGAAGUCCACUUCCUCCUCCCUUCCCACUUCCCACAGCAAUUGGGGGGACACCCCGAGGCAUUCACCAUGGGCUUUUCCACCCGCCUGCGAGCGGGAACCACCUCCGUAGUUUCCUCUCAGAGCCGGGCGUGGAGAGGGCUGGGCCUGCGAAGAGGAUGCAUGGCCUGGAGGCUGGUUUCGGGCCAAAAAGCUGAAAUAAAGAACGAAGUCAAUAAUAAUAUGAAGUGUAUGAGAAAUAGCUGGAAAAUUCAUCAUCCAUGACUUGAAGAAAUUGACGUUUUACAAGUUAUAUUUUCGGUGAAGAGGCACUUUCAAGAUCCUUCUCUGAGACCUGCACCAAUAAGACUAUACCAAUGUUCAGUUGAAACAUCAGACACUGUUCUGGUUAUGAUGGACACCACAAUGAAAGAGACCUGGUCCCUGUCUUGAGGAAAUCCAACUGCUGGUAGAGAGCUCAGAGUAAUGAUUAGGAUGCAAUAUGAGGGAUGCAGUAAUUGGGAUCUACUUCUGGGAACCGUCACAGCCUGAGAAAGAUGGCAUGCCCUGAAUGGAAUUCACAGAGAAUUAUUUUAAGUCAUGCUACUGGCCCCGCCCAGUUAUGUAACAACUUGCAUUUCCUCAAUUCUCUGGAAUGUGGCCAGUCAGGAACUUCCACAUUUGGUUUUUUUUUUUUUUUUCCCCCCAUUUGUGGGUAAGAAAGUAAAAGAGGCAGGAAAACUGAAUUGAGAAAGAAGAAAGAAUAGGGGAAGAGAGAAAGAAAAAAGAAAACCAUGAAGCCUGGAAGAGGAGAAAGAAGAGAUAGAUGAGCAAAGAAGCACAUUGCCUGGUGGUAGUAAUAGUUGUCAGACACCCAUCUAUUAUAAUCUGUUUUCCAUGGGAGAUUUUAAGAAGAGGCUAGAUCCCCAGUCUGUCUUAAAAUCAAGAAAAGGGACUCUGUUGCCUCUAAAGUAUACUUCCAGACUCAGCAAUCUCUAAAUUCUGAGUGGGGCAUCCCUAGUUUUGCUGCCUAAAAUCUAUGACAGUUGGAAAUGAUUCCAUUUAAGAUCCAGUUCAAGAAGCUAUACACCCUGAGGAACUUUAUAUUGCCAUUUAAAGGACUGAUAUUCUCCAGAUUGCUUGAGCCCAGGAGUUCGAGACCAGCCUGGGCAACAUGGCAAAACUCCAUCUCUACCAAAAAAAAAAAAAAACAAAAUUAGCUGGGCAUGGUGGUACACAUCUGUAGAACCAGCUACUCUGGAGGCUGAGCUGAGAGAACCCCUUGAGCCUAGGAGAUGGAGGUUGCUGUGAGCCAAGAUCGUGCCACUGCACUCAAGCCUGGGUGACAGAGCCAGACCCUAUCUCAUAAAUAAAUAAAUGUCAAUAUUCUC
rnacentral:lncRNA from 1 species